rnacentral:rRNA from 1 species
UACGUAGGUGGCAAGCGUUGUCCGGAUUUAUUGGGUUUAAAGGGUGCGUAGGCGGUCUAUUAAGUCAGUGCUGAAAUAUCCCGGCUUAACCGGGAGGGUGGCAUUGAUACUGAUGGACUUGAGUAAAGUUGAGGUUGGCGGAAUUGACGGUGUAGCGGUGAAAUGCUUAGAUAUCGUCAAGAACACCUAUUGCGAAGGCAGCUAACUAAGCUAACUGACGCUGAGGCACGAAAGUGUGGGGAUCAAACAGG